rnacentral:lncRNA from 1 species
GUUUGCAGAUUAGAUUCACAUGAAGACUUAGCUCCCUCUCUGCUCCUGCUAAGUCUAAGGAAUGCAAAUUUUGCCUUUGCAAAAAUUAACAUCAUGCUCCUAGCAAGAAAGCAGGUGACAAGCUCAGCAGCUCUGCUUCAGUUUGUUUUUCUCCAUGGCAGGAACAUGUGCCCCUGAGUGGGCACUGUUAGUGGAAUCGGUAGGAACGCAAAUGCAAAGGCAGGGAGAUAAAGGUGAGUCAGGAAGGAGAAAGCGGCACUUGGGGGCAGAACAGAACACCAAAAAAGCCAGGUGAUGGAAACAAGGCAAACCAUCAUUAGCCCAAGUUAACAGAAGCAAGUUGACUCAUGCAGCCGUGGGAAAAGCUAAGGUUGCUUGCAUGGACAUGGUGAGUCAUCUAAUGUGUAAGUCAAGCUACCAGCUAUAAUUAAUCUUGUACGUGGACACAAAGUCGAGUAUUUUGAACAUGAGCUAAUGAGAUUGACCUGUAGGAUCAUGCAGCUCUAACAGCUGAGUAGGCAAAUCAAGGAUAAAGGAAAAAGCUGGGGGUGCCCUUGGGCAGUCCCUUUCUUUGUGGCCUGUGCAUUUGCCUGUGUGGUGCUCUCUGUGGGAUGCAGGCUGAGCUGGAUGAAAUUUGCCCCACCCACGCUGCCCUCAAGUUGCUCCUUAUUUAUAGUACUAUUCCAGGAGGAUGUCUUCUGCAGUACAAGUACGUGAGAAGAAAGCUGUCUGUGACGAGACGGGCCCUCACUCUGAAUCUGCCAGUGCCUUGAUCUUGGCCUUCCCAGCCUCCGGAAUUAAAUCCAUCAGCUCAUUUGAUAUGUUAUUUGACUUCUGAGAUACCACCAGCAAUAAUUCUGAGGAUGUUGUACCAUUGGAUAACAUCAGCUACCAUCUAUCAUCUAAUGACAAUUUCCUUUCCAUAACUGUCGGGGUCCGGCACGUCUGCCAGGGGACUACCGACCUGCGGGAGUCCCCGAGACCGCCAACAUAGAUGUCUCGUUCAACCUGAGAGAGAGAGUGUGUGGAAAAGAAAGAACAUAGAAAAGUAGAGUCUGGAGGGCUGCAUGAAGAUUAUGGCCAAAACGCAGCAAAUUUAUUUUUGUGGGUUACAGCUUUUAUACCUUUUGUCUUGUUUACAUUUACCUUAUCUCAGCAGAAAGAAACAAAGGGGAAGACAGAAAGGAAACAGAAACUCCAUAAAAUAGUUAUCAGGGGCUUGUGAUAUCCUGCUCAGAAGGCAGUUUAAGGGGGCUAGUGGUAGUAGUUUACAUUUCAAUGAUUUUACAUUUCAAAGAUACAAUGGCGCCCUUAAGGUGGCUAGUUAAACCUGUUUUUCAUCAGGAGCUAAAACAAAGGCUUGGCUCCAGGGAAAAUAUGGGCAGAGGUCUCUGCUCCUCUUAGGCAUUUCAAUUGCAGCAAGUUUAUUGCUUACACAGAGACUGAAGGGGGACAUGGAAACAGACAGCACAAUGUCCUCAUAAACUGCAGGCCUUUGCUUUGCAUUCUGUUGUUGCUUUUAGUGAGUCAGCUCACGGCCCUGUCUCACUUGACAGCCCUCGAGGUGAGGAAAUGCAGUACAGGUCCAGCAGCCAAACUGGGGCAAGUCAACUAGCUGUCUCGAGCCCUUGGCGCGAACACCACACGUAACUGCCUGGCUCUGAGAGCCAAUGCCCUGUAUUUUAAGUUUUCUUUGUUGGUUGGUUUUUCUUUGUUUUUGGUAGUACUCCAUUUCUGGUGGCAAUUUUGUAUUAUGUAGCAUUUACUAUGACAUGCUGUUGUAACAACCAAUCUAAAAGCCUCAGUAAUGUAUAGCAAUCAAGUUUUAUUGUUCAGUUACCUUACCUAUUGGCUGUGGGUGAGCUGUGGUUCUGCUCUUGUGUUUUCUCGUUCUCAGAUCCAGGCUAAGUCCAGCUUUUCACUGAAUUUGCCAAUUACAUAACAGAAAAUAGCAAUGGCCAAUGUAUUCAAUUGGCUUUUAAAACUUCAGCUCUAAAGUAACACAUAUCACUUCCCCUCAUAUUCACUGCAAAAGCAAAUCAAAUGGACAAACCAUGGCCCCAUGAUGUCAAUGUGGCAGAGAAGUACAAUAUAAUCCUCACACAGGGAAGGCAACAAACAAUUGGGAACAAUAGUAUAAUCUACCACAGCAUUUCAUCAUUUAGAAUAUUUGCUAUUGCUUUCCAUGCAUAAUCUUUAUCAUGAAGUGUGUACAUGUGUGUGCAUGUAUAUUUUAAAAGAUAAUUGCUGAGUUUAUCCAAACUCUUCACACUAUCUAAUGAUAUAAAACAGUUGUCCACUUUUAUUGAUACAAUAUUUAUAAUUUUUCCUAUACUUAACUACUCUUGAAUUUCUAAAAUACACUAUACUCAGUAAGUGUGGAUUAUUCUCUUGGUAACCCAGUGAAUUCUAUUUAAUAAAGUAUAACAUUUUUGCUUCUAUAUUAAAUAUAUAGAAGCAAUUUUUGCUUCAUUUUUCUAGUAUGAUUGGUUGGUAAUGUUCUUUUCUGGUUCAGUUCCAGUUUAGUUAUUAAAUUAUGGUAGUUUCAUAUGAAUUGGGAAAUUUUUAAUCUUUACUUGUAUAAAUUACAAUUUACCAGAAUUCUCUAUUCUUAAAGCUACAACUCAGGUUUGAAACUACCUGAUCCUGAGGACUCUAACGUAAUAGCGUAUUAACUAUCUAUUCCAACCUUUUGGUGGCAAAUGAACUCUUAAAGUUUUCUACUCCUUGGGUCACUUUUGAGAACUUAACAUUUAUAAGAGAAUCCUUUACUAUAGGUUUUCAAAUUUAUUGUCAAAGAGUUGCACAUACAUUUUAUUAUAAUAUGUUUUAUUUUGAGAGCUUGUUUGGAGGUUCAAGCAGGGAGCGCAGUUACUCAUAUACCCUUGACCAAAGUCCUUCUCUAUCAGGGAUGGUCAACCUCUUCGACUGAGCAUGCAGCUUCAGGAGGAAAUCACAUGUAGUAGUGAGGAAGGAAUGGGACACCUGCCUAGCCAGCCAGAUCAGCAACC